AACGCUUUGUGCUGUCCGUACUUGCCUGUAUUGUGUAAAGUGCUAGCGUGAAUGUCCAGGGCCAUAAUAGCCACGUACUCAUCACCAGAAACCGGGCCCCAGGCACUAUAUUGCCAAGAUAAAUAUAUAAUCUAGAUUAUAGUUUCGCAUUAGUCUGUAAACGUGAUUAUAAGUAUGACCGACCGUCGUGAGCAUUACCAAUACAGUGACAAGCAGCCAUCUAAAACACGAAGCUCUACACAAGCCGGGCGAUUAGCUGCCAGAUACAAGGGGAGAAUAUCUCAUUUGGAAAGGUCACCAUGGAAACCAUCCUCCAGCUAUGCCCAUAAUUUGUUUCCACGACUUCACAUCCACAUUCCCCGGGCCGUCGAUUCCUAACAAUAUAAUGAUUAACGUCACUUCCGGUUUGCAGAAUUACUGACGUACCGCUAGUGACGAUGUAGAGACGAACAUGAGAUGGGUCCUCACAGUCAUAAACACAUCGCGAGUCGCAUUUGUUGUUGCUUUUAUUCGCUCUUUUACACUUUUGUGCCUUUUUACAAAAAAUCACUUUUUGUGGGAGAACCGCACGCUGAAAUGCGUUGAGAUGAUUCACAUGUUGUGUUUUACAAAUAGGUUUCCCUUUAAAUUGGGAUUUCCUAAUCGCUCGGCAUUGUUUUCUGUGUACAUCACUGUAUAUAACGUAUAAAAAACACGAAACAUUUUGAUUAAAUAUUAUUAUUUUAAAACUAA